AGCACUACAAGCUCAGAGCAAGAGCACCGCCCUGUCAAGGCGGACGUUGCGGGUUCGAGCCCCGUCAGUCCCG
rnacentral:tRNA from 1 species